rnacentral:antisense_RNA from 1 species
CGGGCGUACGAUUCUGGCGGCGUGAGGGCCCAGGCAGGCGCCGCUUCCAGAAGGUUCGGUGGCGGUUGGGCCGCGCCGGUGCGGGGAAGGCCCGCGAGCCGCAGCAGUCGCGCCCGACCCGGUGGCAGCCCCGAGGGAAGCGUCUGGGGCGGCCCAAGUGGUGGAGCAGGGCGGACUUGGGCCUUCACUCUCCGCGCGGCGGUAAAUAUUUGUGCUGGGCGUUCCCGGCCGCCCGCGCUGCCGAUUCGCUGCCGCGCCCAGUGCCUGGGCGGCCGGAUGAGGUCAGAGCGGAAGGCGCGGCCCGGGCGCCUGGCAGUGGGGCCUGAUUCCCACCCCCGCCCCUAACCCACCCCGGCACCAGUCUCCCGCAUCGCAGCUCUCGCUGAGAUCGGCACUAAGAGAGAAUGGAAGGCUGUUUCCUAGAAAGGAGCAUUGGUGGCGGCUGCUGGGAAGACACGGGGAAGGGAACGGGCCUUUGGUGCCGCAGCACAAAGCGUCACGAGAUGGGGAGGAGGAAAGGCCCGCGACUGUCUACACCGCCGGCUGCAGUUUUUACUGGGAGCGCUGAGCGCCAGCCUGGAGGUGCACGUGUUGCAGUGAGGAUCCCUGAAACAUGCCGUGUUUUACUGCACAAGAUGUGCCCUUGAAUGGAGUCCAGGCCAGUCGGGGUCACCAAAAAAAAUCCACCAAAAAACACCCAAGAAGGGAGAAAAGGUCACCCCCCACGUGCUGGAAUGACAGCUUUUUACUUGCUAGGCAGUUUGACCUUUUCCGAAUUUUCUACAGUGCACAUAGAUUUGUACUUACAUCUUUAAAUUAAAACCCACGCAACUCCGGC